GGGAACUUGCCUUUGCGAGGGGGGUAACAGUUGGAAACGACUGCUAAUACCGCAUAAUGUCUACGGACCAAACGGGGCUUCGGCUCCGGCGCAAAGAGAGGCCCAAGUGAGAUUAGCUAGUUGGUAAGGUAACGGCUUACCAAGGCGACGAUCUCUAGCUGUUCUGAGAGGAAGAUCAGCCACACUGGGACUGAGACACGGCCCAGACUCCUACGGGAGGCAGCAGUGGGGAAUAUUGCACAAUGGGGGAAACCCUGAUGCAGCCNUGCCGCGUGUGUGAAGAAGGCCUUCGGGUUGUAAAGCACUUUCAGUUGUGAGGAAAAGUUAGUAGUUAAUACCUGCUAGCCGUGACGUUAACAACAGAAGAAGCACCGGCUAACUCCGUGCCAGCAGCCGCGGUAAUACGGAGGGUGCGAGCGUUAAUCGGAAUUACUGGGCGUAAAGCGCACGCAGGCGGUUUGUUAAGCUAGAUGUGAAAGCCCCGGGCUCAACCUGGGAUGGUCAUUUAGAACUGGCAGACUAGAGUCUUGGAGAGGGGAGUGGAAUUCCAGGUGUAGCGGUGAAAUGCGUAGAUAUCUGGAGGAACAUCAGUGGCGAAGGCGACUCCCUGGCCAAAGACUGACGCUCAUGUGCGAAA
rnacentral:rRNA from 2 species